rnacentral:rRNA from 1 species
CCUACGGGUGGCAGCAGUCGAGAAUCAUUCACAAUGGGGGAAACCCUGAUGGGGCGACGCCGCGUGGGGGAAUGAAGGUCUGCGGAUUGUAAACCCCUGUCAUGUGGGAGCAAAUUAAAAAGAUAGUACCACAAGAGGAAGAGACGGCUAACUCUGUGCCAGCAGCCGCGGUAAUACAGAGGUCUCAAGCGUUGUUCGGAAGCACUGGGCGUAAAGCGUGCGUAGGCUGUUUCGUAAGGCGGUUGUGAAAGGCGCGGGCUCAACCCGCGGACGGCACAUGAUACUGCGAGACUAGAGUAAUGGAGGGGGAACCGGAAUUCUCGGUGUAGCAGUGAAAUGCGUAGAUAUCGAGAGGAACACUCGUGGCGAAGGCGGGUUCCUGGACAUUAACUGACGCUGAGGCACGAAGGCCAGGGGAGCGAAAAGGAUUAGAUACCCUAGUAGUC